GCCUUAAAAUUAACGAUCUUUGUUACCGCGUCAUUUUGUCAUGACUUCCUGUGCGCAGCUACUUUCAAAAUGGCCGCCAUGGCUAAGCGUGGAGGUGAAAGUAGAAAGACUUCAUCCUGCUGUGACUACUGCGACUUACUGCUAGCUUGCUAAUGCUACUGAUGCUACGUCUAGCCUGCUAAUGCUACUGAUGCUACGUCUAGCCUGCUACUUCUAGCACAGCUGCGUCUAUACGUACCAUCCUUUAAAACACACAUUGUGGCUGCGCGGCUCCAGCUGAGAGGCUUUGUGAUGCACUGUCAGAACCCAUUUACCUCCUUCAUCUCCAUCUCCAUGAGAACAUGGUGGGGGGGGGGGGGGGCGGAGCCUCUGGUUCUAUCUGACAGCACCUCUUACUGUGUGUUUUUACCCCAUUUUUCUCUCCAUUAUUCCUCAUCAAACCCAUA